GUGAGGAAUAUUGCGCAAUGGGGGAAACCUUGACGCAGCAACGCCGCGUGGGUGAAGAAGGCCUUCGGGUUGUAAAGCCCUGUCAGGUGGGAAGAACCCUCCGCAGACGAAACAUCUGCGGAACUGACGGUACCACCAGAGGAAGCACCGGCUAACUCCGUGCCAGCAGCCGCGGUAAGACGGAGGGUGCAAGCGUUGUUCGGAAUCACUGGGCGUAAAGCGCGUGUAGGCGGUUGGAUAAGUCGGGUGUGAAAGCCCGGAGCUCAACUCCGGAAGUGCAUUCGAAACUGUCCAGCUAGAGUACGGGAGAGGAGAGUGGAAUUCCUGGUGUAGAGGUGAAAUUCGUAGAUAUCAGGAGGAACACCGGUGGCGAAGGCGGCUCUCUGGACCGAUACUGACGCUGAGACGCGAAAGCGUGGGGAGCAAACGGGAUUAGAAACCCGAGUAGUCC
rnacentral:rRNA from 1 species